GCCACUUCAAUAGCAUGAACUAAAAUUGGAAUGAUACAGAGAAGAUUAGCAUAGAGCCUGUACAAAUUGAAGCAUUCCAUUUUUAU
rnacentral:snRNA from 1 species